rnacentral:rRNA from 1 species
UACAGAGAGUGCAAGCGUUAAUCGGAAUCAUUGGGCGUAAAGCGCGCGUAGGUGGAUGUUUAAGUCGGAUGUGAAAGCCCUAGGCUUAACCUGGGAAUUGCAUUCGAUACUGGAUAUCUUGAGUCUGGUAGAGGGAAGUGGAAUUUCCGGUGUAGCGGUGAAAUGCGUAGAUAUCGGAAGGAACACCAGUGGCGAAGGCGGCUUCCUGGACCAGUACUGACACUGAGGUGCGAAAGCGUGGGGAUCAAACAGG